AUGUUUAUGUUUCGUAUAUUUGUUUCAUGCAAAUCCACGCAUAAUCAGAUAACUAAAUAACACAUUGAAAAUUACAUUCCAUUCCUCCAUUUUAGGUAGCAAAUUUGGCCAUCGCACUUGUCGUGGGUGGGGGCCCAUUUACUGUACAUAUCCAUUAGGUGGUAGAUGUGGCCGUCGAAGUAAGCGUCGGCUGCGGCCAUUUUGUUGGCAGAUCCGAAAAAUUUUGACCUCUAUGGGUCCGACACCUUUUCUGGCUGUGGCACAUUGUAAAUUAUAGUUUUAGAAAGGAUUCACUCAAUUUAUUUUCUU